AUGCCCGCCCGGGCUCAAAUCCCCUCCCCCACGAGCUCCUCCUCGACGCGCCGCCACCCACGCUCAGACCUCGCCGCCGCCAACUACCCUCAGACCGCGCCGCCGCCUAUGGCCUCCGCCCAUGCCCCCGUCCUCUCUCCUGCCCUCCACUCCCCCGAAGAAAAGAGAAGAGAAGAGACGCAUGUAGAUCGAACGACCAGAUCGAGCGGCGGCCAGAUCCAUCCGCCACGGUUGCCCAGGGCUCGCGCGCCUCCGACGACGUGGCCCUGCCCGUGCGUCAAGGGCCUGGACGGAGAUGCUUCUGCUCCGCAAUGGCCAUGGAGCUUCCUCCCAAUCCAAAGUCUUGGACUGGACGGGGACGGCUGCUCUUCCAAGAUUGACUCAAAAAAUUUAUGUCUGCUUUACCUACGCAAGGGCACAAUGAUGAAUUUUACGGACGAUGCUCCUGUAAAGAAGAGCUCUGUUCUCUUGACAAGGAUGGAAAGUAUAACAGCAUACAAAAACAAACGUGGACAACCCAGAUUGGAACUCCAGAACAAUCUGACACUCCAGUGUCUGCUAAUGACAUGUGUUCCCUUGUCGAAUGGCCAUGCCAUGCUCGCCGCAACCGUGCGCUACUACAGGAUGGUGCUUGCUUUUGUUUUUAUUUGUGUCAUCAUUUCUUACAAUCUAAUACCGAGUAAUACAAUAUUUCUUGUAUAA
rnacentral:rRNA from 1 species